rnacentral:rRNA from 1 species
CCUACGGGAGGCAGCAGUGGGGAAUAUUGCACAAUGGGGGAAACCCUGAUGCAGCAACGCCGCGUGAGGGAAGGAGGAUCUCGGUAUGGAAAGCUCUAUCAGUACGGAAGUAGAAAGACGUAACCGUACUAAGAAGCCCGUGCUAACUACGUGCCAGCAGACGCGGUAAUACGUAGGGGGCAAGCGUUAUCCGGAUUUACUGGGUGUAAGGGGAGCGUAGACGGCUGUGCAAGUCUGAAGUGAAAGCCAGUGGCUCAACCGCGGAACUGCUUUGGAAACUGUAUGGCUUGAGUACUGGAGCGGCAGGCGGAAUUCCUGGUGUAGCGGUGAAAUGCGUAGAUAUUAGGAGGAACACCAGUGGCGAAGGCGGCCUGCUGGACAGCAACUGACGUUGAGGCUCGAAAGCGUGGGGAGCAAACAGGAUUAGAUACCCUGGUAGUC